AUGUCUUCCUCCACCUCCUCCUUCCAACCAACGCUUAGCGGUGGAGGCCCGAAGAAACUCUCCCGCACCAACUACGUUAUGUGGCGGACACAGAUCAUGCCGCAGCUGCGGGGCGCCGGCGUCUUCCACUACAUCGACGGCACGACAACCGAGCCGGCGAAAACCCACAUCACCAAGGAUGCCGCCGGGAAGGAAACCGAGGGGCCGAAUCCUCUCCAUCCGCUCUGGGUGAAGGAGGAUCAGCAGGUCCUCGGAUACCUGCUCCAAAACCUCUCCAAGGAGGUGCUCGUCACGGUGACCACGAUC
rnacentral:rRNA from 1 species